ensembl:lncRNA
GGCAUAUUCAUGGGGUCUCCUGGGUUGAUGCCGGUGACAAAGGAAGACAGAAACUGGAUAGGGGAGCUGGAAGCAGAGGUCGGAUGAGCAGUAGCUUCAAGGGGAGGGCAGCAGAACACAAAGGAAGCAAGUACCAGGAUGGAGCACAGACUGAGGAGCACUGCCCUGGAGGAGCGGAGGAAGAGGAUGCUGGAGAGAUCUAUGCAGGCGACAGAAGUGAAAUGCAUCUUCACCUCAGCAGGCCUUCCUGGGAAGAAUCUGGGAUCAUGGACUGCAUGGCCUGGUGAUAUAGGCAGUCCUUCCUUGGCGUCACUCUUGUGGGCUGCACUUCUCCCCUGGAAAUCUGAGGACCCCACUCCACUGGACAGCCCCAUGCUUACACUGACUACAGUGCAGGAAGGAAUGCUUUGUGGAGCAACUGGAAGAUACCAGAGACAUGGUUUAAUAGCCAACCAUCUACUGACCAGGCUAGCUAUGUCCCAGUGUCUCAUCAGCAGGAAGGGGUCAUUGCCAGUAGUGUGGAUCCUCUGUCAUUCUCAAGAACCAUGAUUGGGACUUGAAUGUGAAACCCGGGAGGGCCCAGGCUCAUGUGUUUGAACACUUGGUCCCCAGCAGGUGGCGCUGUGGAAAGCUGUGGAGCCUUUAGGAAGUGGAAUUUUCUAGAGGAAGUGAGUCGCUGGAGGUGGAGCUUCAGCCCUACUUCCUGUCUGCUGUCUAUUUCCGGACACAGACAGUAUGACCAACUAUCUCCACCUCCUGAUGCCACCCGUGCCUUCCCCGCCAUGAUGGACAGUGUCUCUUCAAACUAAUGGCUAAAGAGGCUGCAACAGAGUUCAAGGGAGGCUGUCUGAGAGGCAGACACAAGAGGCUGAUAGGGUGGAAAAGAGGAUGUCUGGAGAAGAGGGCACUGGGUCAAACAGUGAACUUGCUGGAUGUCUUGUUGGAGACACUCUGCAAUUGCUCCCAACAUGUGCAACUGAACAGCCUGCAAACUUUAUCAGCUCUGGGGUGACGCCUCCAGUCUCAAGGACACAGCUCUGUGGAGGAGCCUUUGAUUGGAACCUGGAACCGGGGCAGCGGUUUAGUGUUAGGGCCACUCUGUGCCAAGUCCAUGUGGGCUUUGCCGCGUUUCGUGGGAGGUGGUGUUUAUAAAGAUUUUGAUAUUCUAAAUCUUGCUCAAGGGCAGGCUCCUUUUGUCUACAACAAAUACGAAUCCAACUGGCGACAUUGCUGAGAACUAGAUGUUUGGGAAGUUCUUCCUAGAUGGGAGUGGAGUUUUCUGGAGGUCCUGUCCUUAAGACAUAAACACACAGAUAUGGCACUUCUGGGCCAGCAGGGGGCGCUCACUUUCCAUCCAAGCUGGCUGACCGCAGAACUAUGAGCCACUUACAUGCUCACUCACCCAGCGUGUGUGUGUGUGUGUGUGUGUGUGUGUGUGUGUGUGUGUGUGUGUGUGUGUGUGUGUGUGUGUGUGUGUGUGUGUGUGAGAGAGAGAGAGAGAGAGAGAGAGAGAGAGAGAGAUUCACUGACCAAAUAUUGUCUCAAAUCUAAGUCACACUGCAGCCCUGAGCCACUGCCUGGCACCCUGCUGAGCAACACAGCAAGAACACUGGGCACUUGCUUAACUCCAGUCCCCAAAGCCUGGGCAGCUCCAGGAAGGGCUGCUGGAGAUGAAGCUGGAGAAUCCUAGUGAGUUCCGGGGGCCCACAGUGGACUCUCCCUGAGGUUUCUCCUGGACAUACAGGAGAAAAGCAUUUUCAAACUUCCAUUUGGAGCUGGAGAGGUAGCUCAGCAGUUAAGAGCACCUGUUGUUGUUCUCACUAUUAUUAUCUCAUAUAUUACAUCCCAACCACAGUUUCCCCUCCCUUUCCUGCCCUGAUUCUCUCCCCACAUCUCCCCUCUCCCCCAGGUCUGUGCCCCCUUUAUUUCCCCUCAGAAAAGAGCAGGCCUCCCGGGGACAUCAACCAAACAUGGCAUAAUAUUCUACAAUGAAACCAGGCACAUACCAUCACAUCAAGGCUGAACGAGACAACCCAGUAGGAGGGAAAGGGUCCUAUAAGUAGGGAAAAGAGUCAGCAAACACCCUGCUCCAAUUGUUAGGUGUUGUGGAAUAUUAUUUUAACUGGGCAAAGAUGUGUUACAUCUGUUUAUGCUGUGGAAUGUUACUUUGACUGUGUAAAGGUGUGUUUCUUUUGUUUAUACUGCAUUUGUUUAAUUAUAUAAAGAUUUGCUACCUCUGUUUCACCUUGCCUGCCAAAGGCACCUGAUUGAUGUAAUAACGAGCUGAACGGCCAAUAGCUAGGCAGGAAAAAGAAUUGGUGGGGCUGGCAGGCAGAGAAUAAAUAGGAGAAAUCUAGGCUCAAGAAAAGGAAGAAUGAGAGAAGAGAGAUGCCCAGGGCCAGAAGCCAGACAAUCACCAAUCAGCCAGACAUAGAAACAGCAAGAAAGUAAGAAAAAAAGUAAAAAGCCCUGGAGCAAAACAGGUUAUUUAAGUUAAAAGAGCUAGCCAGAAAUGUGCUCAGCUAGGCUGAGCAUUCAAAACUAAGACUGAAUCUCCGUGUCAUGAUUUGGGAGCUUCCCCAAAAGAAAAAAGCCUGGUACAAUUAGGAGUACCACAAGAACACCAAGCUACUCAGCCAUAGAUUUUUGCAGAGAACCUAGAUCAGACCCUUACAGGCUCCCUGAUACCUUCGAGCCCCUAUGAGUCCUGGUCAAUUGAUUCUGUGGGUCAUGUUCUCUUGGUGUCCCUGAGUCCUCUGGUUCCUUCAAUCCUCCCCCCCCCCCCCCACCACCAACAGGACUCUCCGAAGGAGCACCUGUUUUUACAAAGGACUCCAGUUCAAUUCCCAGUACCCACAUGGUGGCUUGCAAUCAUCUAUAACUCCAGUUCCAGGAAAUCUGACACCCUCUUAGGCCUCAGUGGACCCUGCACACAUGUGGUACACAGACAUUAUAUAUGGGCAAAACACAUGCAUAAAAUUAACUAAAUAAAUAUGGUUUCUAAUCCUCCAUAUUGCAGAUGGUACUGUUCAGUGUAAUGUGCUUGCCUAGGAUGUCCAAAACUCUGGGUUUGAUCUUUAGCACUAGAGAGAGAGAAAAAAGAAAACCUUCAUUCUCUCUCUCUCUCUCUCUCUCUCUCUCUCUCUCUCUCUCUCUCUCUCUCUCUCUCUCAUUUUUAGGACAGGGUUUCUCUGUGUAGCCCUCACCAUCCUGGAACUUGUUCUGUAGACCAGACUGGCCUCAAACUCACAAAGACCCACCUGUCUCUGCCUCCCGAAAGCUGGGAUAAAAGUCAUGUUGUCACCACUGUCCAGCUUGAAAACCUCCAUUUUAAUUGGAAAAGGGGACAGUUGAGAGCUAGAUGCUAUAUUUGGUGUUUGGAGUCCAGGUCAAAGUUUAUCUAUUCUAGAAGGAUGAUCCAAGGAACUGCUAGGAUAAGAUGGUCCUGGAGUCACGUAAAAGAGCCUGGGUCAUGAGCCUGGGGGUUCCCCCAGAAUCACCCCUCAGUCAAACGUAGCACUGUGAGGCCAUGACAAGGGACCUGACACCUGAGACCACUGUUGGGUGAUUAAAGGUGGGCAGUGGUUGAAGCCACGUCCUGUGAGCGACGAAUGAGUUAGAAGUGAGAUUUCAUCACACAACUGAGAGGAGCACACAACUGAAAUCCUAGGAAGUCUUUAGUUCUAGAGUUUUCCAUUUAGUACUUUUGAAUGUCAGCCAACCAUGGUUCACUGAAACCUCAGAAAGAAAAACUUCAGGUGUGUGGGAGGCUGUUGCACCAUCACCAUAGUUGACAAGUGAGGACCCCAAGUUAAAAGACUUGGUUAUGUUGUCCAGCUGACAUUAGAGCUCAGAUCCAAACCCAUCCUGCUAACGAAGCCAUACACUGAACGCUGUAGGCAAUGACCAGGAAAUGGGCAAUUGCCACCAUGAGCCAACAAGGACAAAGGCCUCAGUUUCUGGGGGUAAAAGGCUGGAUUUGGAGCUGACGGCAUAGUCUCUAUCAGCCCUCCCUAAAACAAACUACAGUCUGAAUUGGAAACAUCUGCUCUGCUGAUUUGGCUGAUUCAUUCAACUUGUGGCCUUUCCCAGAAGCACCAUGGGAAUUCUUUAGUCUCUGUGGUCCUGCAGUUUGAGCUGCACAUACUCGUGGAGCGAUGGCCUGGUCAUGUGACCACCCACAAGUUUGUUUUAAUGUCAGUAUUUUAGGUGAGGCUACCAGGUUGUGCAGGUAUCAAGUGUGAACUUUAGGCUUCCCUUGUUCAGCCCCAGGACACAUGACAACAAACAUCACAAAUAUGGGGUUGAAAAGCAUCACUUUCCCUCUCAUAGUAUCCUGGAAGCCAAGCACAGCAGCUUUGUGGGUGUCAAGGAGGAACCCCAUUCCCUUAAGUGUGUUUCCUGUUGGCUGCUCAUGCUCCUUCCCCCUUUCCCAGGGUUCCCUCCAGCAGCAGUGGGUGAGUUUCUCCCAUGUUCUGUGCCCCGCUACACUUUUAUCUUCAGUGUCUCAGGACUGUAGCUAGAAAGGCUCUCUGCCUUUAAGGGCUCAUGUGACCAUGUUAGGCUCAUCCAUGUAAUCGAGGCUCUCCUCCCUAUUUUAAAUUCUGUCAUCUCAACUCCAUUCACAAAACUCCUUUUGCCAUGAGACAUCACAUAUUCACAGGUCUUGGGGACCGUGGUGGGGACAUCAGUGGGGAGGUAUUCUGCCUACAGAGGGUUAGGGGAAGAGUUUACGGAUCCUGGUGACAGAUGAUAACAUAAUGAAUCUGUUAUUUCUAAACGCAUCAAGACCUGUAAAAUCUCCCCGUUCUCCUGAGAGUCUUCCUCUAAAUAGAUCCCAACUAUGUGAGGAGAGGCGUGGUAGGAAUGUGUUUGAGGGGAGAGAGUGUAGGGUGGGGCCGUAACUGAUUUCCGCUGUCUUCUCUUUUGGAUCGGACUUACUCGGUGGCAAGUUUCUUUUGCUUAAAGCACUGUUUGACAAAUGUCACCUUCUCCAUGGAGACCACCCGUUUCUCAUCAUCACCAGCUGCCCCUCCUCCAACCGCCCACUCCCACUGCUAUUUGGAGUUGAAAGCUGUUCACUUUCAUAAAAUCCUCACCCUUGAGGUGUGUGUGGGUGCUGCUUAAUUCUCUCAUUGGAUACUGAUUUUAUUUAGAAAUCACUUAAAGGAGUCGUUAAAAAUGAAAAUUCCUGGGCAGUUUCUGGGAAACUGGAAAUGUUGCUUAGAUAUCUGGGUGUCGUGGCAGCAGAUACCUCUCUCUACUCUCAACAUUUGGGAGGUGGAGGCAGAAGGAUCAAGCGUUAUCCUUAGUGGGGUCAAGGCCAGCCUGAGUAGCUGAGUGAGAUUUUGUCUCAAAAAGCAAACAAAACAGCAACCAAUGAAAACAACAGAAAGAAAGAGAAGAAAGAAACAUUGCCUAGAAGAGGGUCUAGCUCCUUAUUCCCAACAAGCUAUGGGGCCCAAAUGCAGAUCUUAGCAUCUUCAGUGUCCAGAGGCCUCUGAUGAGAUACUGGAUUUGAAACGUCGCCACCCCAUGGUAGGAGAAGGAACUGCACCUCUGGUGUCACUGGACUGAGUUCCUGAGAGCUUAGCUCCUGUGCUCACAUUUCUUGUGUACAGUGCAUGCUAUUCAGGGCACUGGGGCUCCCAAAUAUGUAUCCUUCAAAAUUUGGUUAAAAGAAGGAAAAGUUAGGAAGACUCUCAGAGGUCUAGUAGUAGAAGUAUCGUUCAUGGAUGAGCAAUGCCCCUGGGCAAGCAAGCAGUCAUUAACACAGGAAGAGGGAACAGGAAAGAGACAUACAUUGGGUCCCAUAGUUUGAGUAGCUGAUCGAGGCACCCAGGCUGACACCUCUGCAGAGCCUCCAUUGUCUGGGGCUGAUUGGCAGGUGAGCCACCCUUCUGGUUGCCACUUGAACCCUGGGGCCUCAUCACCUCCCGACUGUGAAGCCCUAGUCCCCAUCUGCUUCCUUGGGAGUGUGGGUCAUAUUCACUCUUCCUUUUCCCUCAGUAACUGCCGGCUUCAUCCAGCCCCACCCCUGAACAAAAGCCCUGAUCCCCAGAGGCCCAGCCUCAGUGGGACCAGUUGAAUCUUUUAUCUUCAGUUUUGGAAAGUCAGGUCCUGAGUCCUAUUGUAUGUGACAUCCUUUCCAGCUACUUAAAAUGUCUGGAUUAGAUCUCCUGUUUUAUCAGUCUGCUGCAAACAGUGAAGCCUGGCCAGAGGCAAACUCUUUGCCACAGGCACUUCCUGCCCAGAGAAAUUGUUCUGGAAAUUUCCUGAAUGAAGCACCCAGUCUCCAAAAGAGGACCUGGUUUUUAAGAGUCUUCUAGGAGAUGCAAAUUCAGGCGGCAAUGUCUCCAAGAACAGAAUGGACCCCUUGACUUUUCCCUGCUUGGAAGUCAGAUGAAGUCUCCCUUAUGACUGCAGAUCUUUCUCCUAGGCCCACUCUUAGUUCCUACAGAACUUUCUUUAGGCCCAGGCAUGUGGCCGGCCAUCUGGUGACACCAUGGGGCUGUGGAUCUUCAAGGUCACCUAGACACUACAUCUUACAAAAUUAGCAUCAUCUGGGAAUGGUGCUCUUUGCUUCGCCCCUCAACCAUCAAGAGGAAGGCAUUCCACACAGGCCUCUGCUGUGACAGGAUGCUCUGGGACCCCUCAGAGCCUGCUGAUGCACAGUCAUUUUCUUUUAAGAUUUAUUUUAUGAGUGUGAUUUAAAAAAAAAAAAAUUGUGUCUGCUUGCACGUAUGUUCCUCCUUGGUACUCUCGGAGACCAGAAGAGGAAGUCAGAUCCCUUGGAACUGGUGGCUUUGAGCUGCCAUAUGGGUGCUGGGAUUAAACCUGGAUCGUCUGAAAGAACGGCCAGUUCUCCUAACCACUAAGCCAUCUCUCCAGCCCUGUAUGCAUGUAUAUAUUUGUGUGCAUGUGUAAGUGGACAUGUGUGUACAGUGCCGGCAGGGGCCAGAAGAGGGCACCAGAUCCCUCAGAGCUGGGCUUAGGGUUGGUUGUGAGCCACCAUUGUAAGCACCUGGAAACCAGCUGGGGUCCUCUCUAAGAGCAAGUGCUCUUAACCAGGGAGCCAUCUCUCCAACCUCUCCAUUUGCUUUCAGCAGCAGUAGUGUGUGUGUGUGUGUGUGUGUGUGUGUGUGUGUGUGUGUGUGUGUGUGUGUGUGUGUGUGUUGCAGUCUUUACAUAAUUUCUGAUUUAUUUUUUCCCCCUUUUUGGUGGAGAAUCCAUAAAGACAUUGGCUUUAGCGGUCCCCUAGCUCUCAGCGAUCUCUCAUCCAGACAGGAUGCAGUCUCCUCUUUGAACCUGGCUUUGCCAAGCAGAGUUACCCUCCUUCAGGAAUGGCAUGCAUGCUUGGAAUGUGAUUUUAUCUUAUCGGCCUCCUCCCCAGCUGCCAAGGUCCUAGCCAGGCUCCAUGGAGGGUUCCAGAAACUUUUUCUCUUUAAAGCCACUUGCCAGGAGCCUGCCCACUGCUCUUCUAGUUUCAACCUGUUGCUUCUGGGUCCCUCCUCUCCCAAUGACCUCUGGCCUCCUGCAAUGCUGAAUGCCUUGCGGGCGGGAGUGGGGGCUAUGGGGGAGAGGAUAAAAAUCAAAGUGAUUCUAGAAACUUCAUUGUGUACUUUGAUGUUUUGAAAAUUCCGUGGUGGAAGAAUAUGGAGUUCAGCUUUUAAUUAAUGAAAGCCCACCCCGGGGGACCAAACUAUGGGAUUAAGUCAAUAAUAAGUUCCAAAUCCAGGAAGCAGAUGUUCUGAGGUGCGUUUAUUUAUUCAGCAUGGACACGUGUGGUGCCGUGAUCUGGCUGCCUAAGUGCUCUUACAAGACCGGAAAUCCUUCCCAAGGAAUUUUAUACACGAGAAGCCCCUUUCCUGCCUCCUAGUUUCCAAGACUAUGCUUUGAAACUUAACACCUGGCUGGCUCGGUUCCCUCUGCAACUCAAGGUCUCCAUCAUCUGACCUUGAGCCCAUGACCUACUUGUUAGGGGAGCCUCCCUGACAGUAGGGAAGGUGAUAAAUUACCCCACAUAUAUUUGCCUUACAGACUAUUGUGUUGUCUUUAAGAAGAACGGUGCUUUAUUCUAAGAAAAUGACCGAGCACUGCGGUACCGUUCCACCGUGAACUAGCCCCAGGUAAAUUAUUUUAUCUGUGUAAUAAAUAAUGAUUUUAGAAAGCUUAAGGGAUUGGGAGGGAGUCCCAGGGCUCAAUUCACAGUGUGCUUUUUGCUUUUUGGAGAUCUGGAUUUACAAAAUGAAACUGAUUCUCCAGCUGCCUCAGGGGCCAAUGCUUUGGUUAAUUUAAUUUUCUGGAUACAUAAAGCUAAUCCAGAGGUUUGUUUCAGCUCUUGCAGUUGAAAAAUCUUUGUUCAAUGUGACAGCUGGAAAUGCAGACUACUCCCUUUCUGAGAUAGAAUGUGUGGGUAGUCCUGGCACUAACGUUUCAAUCAAGAGAGAUCGAAGGACUUGUGUGAUGGAGGCAUUCUAGGGGGUCGUGUAGCCCACAAUGGACCCCUUAAACUGCCUUUUACACUAAGGUAGGUGCUGGCUUCUUGCAGAAAGUGAUCAGUUCUCUGGUUAUGGCAGGGAUGUCACCUGACCCCACAAAGCUAGAGAACUGGAGACUUUCUUCUAAAUAUUGGGGACUACACACAAGACGUUAAUUUCUCCCAUGGGCUGGGAUCAUAACAUGUAAACCUGGGAUCUGGCAUUGGCCACUUCUUAUUCCAUUUUAUAUAUUUAUUUAUACUUUGUAUUCUUUUCAGUAUUAGGGAGUGAACCUAGGGCAUGAAGAAUCUGAGGCAAGCUCCUUAUUGCUGAGCUAGGUCCCCACCUCUCUGUCUUAGUUAGGUUUCCUAUUUCUGUGACCAAAAGCAGCAUGGAAAAGGUUUACUCCAGCUCACAGUUUGUAGUUCAUCCAGGGAAAUGGGGCAGUAUCUCAAAGCAGGAACCUGGAAGCAGGAGCUGAAGCAGAGGCCAUGGAAGAAUGCUGCUUACUGGCUUGCUCCUGGUGGCUUGCUCAACCUGCUUAUAGAACUCAGGACCACCUGCCCUGGGACUGGCACCACCCACAGUGAGCUGGGCCCUCCCACUUCAGUUGUCAAUCAUAAAAUACAUCACAGGCUUGCCAAUAGGCUAAUGUGGUAGGGGCAUUUCUUAGUGUCUCUUCCCUCUUCCAAAAUGACUCUAGCUUGUGUCAUGUUGACAUAACACUAGCUAACACACUUUUUUUUCCUUUUUUUUUUAAAUCUUAAGAUGAGGCCUUCAGAAGCUGUCCAGGCAGGCCUUUAACUCACUUAAACCUGGGCUGGUUUUGAAUUUAAUAAUCCCCUCCUAUCUCAACUUCCCAGUUGCUGGGGUGACAGGGCUGCAUCAUCAGGCUGGCUGGCAGCCAAUUCCAUACACCAGAUAGAUGGUGGAACAGAAGGAGUCUGUCUGGAAGGAGUCUCAAGAAAAAGGAAUUCAAAAUGGAGGCACUUUGGUUCGGGCAAUUCAACAGGUGUCUGGAGGCCAUUGGGCACACCCACCCAGAAGCAAGCUCACCCUGGAAGUACUGCUGACAUCCCCUAGCCCCCUCCCACAGCACUCCCACCCACCAAGUGAGCCAGAGGCUAAGCUAUCCCCAAGCUCUUCUUAACAGCUUAACUUUAAAUUCCUGACUAAUGGAUGAUGUCAUUGCCAGCCCCUUGAGGCUCAAAGCUAAACACAGAGCAUGUUUUUCUAGGCAGCUGGAGCCUGUGUUUUCCUAGACUGCAACCCUAAUUAGCCCCAAACAAAUGCAAUGCUCUUUGUGUUCCAGUGGGCUGAAUUUUCCCUUUUCUGAAUCUGCUUUGGGUGUCAAGUCUAACAAGACAACUUGGACCAGCCCUCUCCUCUCCUUCCUUCAUCUGAAAGAUUUCUGUUUUAGAUUCAAGUCUGUGAUGCAGUGUGAGGCAUGGCUCUGAGUCCAUUUGAUUUGACUUCUUUGUUUAUUUUUUUAUUUUUUUUUUUUUUUUGUCCAUAGCUGCUCAAGGUUGCUUUGUGCUGACUUUUGAUAGUCAAUCCCGCCUGCUCUGUGAUUCAUUUCAUUUUUGUAUUUUGCUUCCCUGGGAGCCUCAGGCUAGCCUGAGGGUUUGACUGAACAGAGAGAAAGCAUUUUUUGGAUCAUGUAACUCAGUACAGCAUUCCCACUGAACUUCCUGCCUAGCUUCACUCGCAGGGUUGAGAGAAUAAAUUGAAGGUAUGUUUGAGAAAGCAGUUUACAGUUGCAAGUCCACAGAGCAGAUGUGCAAGCUAUGUUUGCAUGUGUCGCGUGUUGGACAGUUUGGGACAAGUCCGACAUCCAGAGAGUAUAGCCUUUGCAACUGUAGCAUAUUUUCUGUUGAGGUGUUUUCUGGCACAGGCUGCUCCCCCCACAAAAAUACUGAUCUGGCUAGUCAUGUAUCCCUUAUCAGCCAAUAUUUUAUUUAUGUUCAAAGGGGCAAGUAACAAAGUAAAAAUAAGGAUAUUAAAUUUUAUUUUUUCUUUAUUUUUAUUUUGAGACACGGAGUCUCACUAUGCGUCCUGGCUGGCAUGGAACUCACUAUAUAGAUUUGAUUGGCCUUGAUUUAAGAGAAAUCCACGUGCCUCUGCCUCCCAAAUGCUCAGAUUAAAGGCGUGCACCACCAUGCCCAGGUAGUAAAUUUCUUUAUGAUACAUUAUUAGUAAUCGUAUGAUCUGUGUGACUAUGCAAGUAUAUCUAACUAUCUGGGGUCACACAAAAAUUUCCUGGGUUGAGAGUGGUUUGGGAAGGGUGAUGAGUAGAAACAGAAGCCUGAUGAAGCUUGCUGUGGGUUGUUUAACAAUGCAUAAUUACUGUGGAUCCCAGGAGCUCUGGCAAGUCUUGAACCAGAAGUAAUGUACACCAGAUCGCUCUGACUUUCUCCAGGACACUUGCACAGUCACAGUGUGCUCUCCAGAACUCACAAGCCUCCUAGUUCAUGUGUGCUCAGUACCAUUCCAAAAGACCAGCAGCAGCCAUGUCCAAACGGCACAAGUAACAGAAUCCAGCAAUUAAGGAAGUUGCUGCAGAGGUCCUGAGGUCACAUAUGACCCCCUCCUCCAGGGCCAGCAGGGACGAGAUAGGGGGAUGGGGAGACAUCAAGUAACUCUCUUGGGAAGUCUGCUUGGGCUCCAGAGAUAGGUGCCGGGCGCCCCUGGGCCUGGAGGACACUUACUGUGAACAUAUGAGAGUUCAUAUCAUCAAUGGUGACAAUGUUAGUAUUAAUAAAGGUGGGCUUCCUGCCUCCCCCUCCCCCUGCCCCCCACCAUGAGCAAUCAAAAGUUCAGAAGUGGCUCCCAACAGCUUUCCAUCCUCACUGAAUAGUAGCUGCCCUGCCACGAUGAAGCAUGACAGUUUGAGGUCUCUCCUUCUUUUUGUUAAUUGGUACCAUUUCAUAAAGACAGCCUGCCUCUCCAUCCUCUUUCUAAGGUAUUAUUUUAGAUCUGUGCAUACAUUCAAAUUGUGCCACAUUUAGCCGGCAGGAGCACUCUCUUGUCAGCCAUUCUUGCAUGCUUCUACAUUGUCUUUGGGCACAUCCUUAUUCUGAGAUUGGAAGACACUCGAGCUGACUUUGUCCCAUCUCUCACGGUGGUCUGGACCUGUCACUUCUCUCUUGGUAGAGACUGGUGUUUAGAACUCAAACUCGGGGUUCUCAUUACUGUCUGGUGCCACUAGGGAGACAAGAAAUACAUUUUUUAAAGUCAUGUAUCUACCUGGUGAAGCCUUUACCUUCAAUCCAGUGUCUGUUGGGUCACCCUCAGAUCCCCACAGCCCUGUAAGUUCACUUCUCCUUUCCCAUACAGACAUUUCCCAACACCUAUACAUGUACGCAGUCAUCCAUUCUUACAACUGGCAAACUAUUUUUGUAAGGGCCACCCCACUGCUGCUUCUGAAAAGAAAGACAUCAAGCAAUACUCAGCGUGUCUUUGCAGCUCCCUUGUCUUAAGAUGUCUCUCUCUGGGAAGAGUCCAGAGAAAACCCCCAAAGCCCAAUGAAUUGCAGUAUGCCUGUGGGGUGAUAUCAAUAUGAUAGACGGCUUCCUCCCCCCGCAUCUGCUUCUGAUCAAAAGCUAAUAAAUAACAAAUAAAUCAAAGUGGAAGAGAGUGUCUUUGCAGAAAGCACUUGGGGACUAUCUCCCAGGGCAUUAGAAUGGAGAUUUUAACUUCAGUUGAAGAGAUGGAUGUGAUGAAAACUGGGCCAGACUUCCAGAGGGUGAGUUCUCGGACUUUUCUCCACAGUUCUUCUAAGCAAUCUUAAAUAAGGGUGGGGAUGAACCCUGAGGUAGGUUCUGGGCAAACUGGGAAAAUAAAAAUGUUGUUUGGUGACGAGCUGGUGGAGCACCUUGUGAGUUCAAUAGAUCAAAAUUCAAAGCGGGUGCUGAAUGUCCAGCCUGAUUGGGUUAUGUGUUGAGGGCUACAGCCUUGCUUCCCAGAUGCUGAGGCUUUGGGGAAGUGAAGAAUGCUGAGGCUGUGUGUGUGUGUGUGUGUGUGUGUGUGUGUGUGUGUGUGUGUAAGAGACAGGGAGAGGGACAGGGGCAGGGAAGGGAAGAGAGAUCAUGGAUAUGCACAUCUGUGAAGGCCAGAUGACAACCUCAGGUGUGGUUCCUCGGGUGCUGUGUGUGUGUGUGUGUGUGUGUGUGUGUGUGUUGUGUAUGGCACUGAUGCACAUGUGUGCACAUGAAUGGCCUUAGGCUGAUAUUCUGAGUCUCCCUCGGUCGCUCUCCAGCUUAUUCAUUGAGACAAGUCUCUGAAAUGAUCCCAGAGGUUGACUCUCCCAUCCAAUGUAGCUAGCCAAAUUCUCCAGGGAUCCCUGACUUAAACAAGUUCUGGAAUUACAAGUGGUCACCAAGCCUACUGGGUAUUUACAUGGGGUAGGGGUCAGGUCCUCACACUAUGAGACAAGUACCUUAUUCACGGAGUCAUUUCCCAGGCCCUGCUUUCUUGUUCUUCUUCAGACAGUCUCCUAUUGGCCGAGAGUUCACCAAGGAGCCGAGGUCAGUUGGCCAAUGAGCCCCUGGGGUCUGCCCGAUGACAUAAUGCCAAACUUUGGUCAUGAUAGAUAGUGGUGUGUGUGUGUGUGUGUGUGUGUGUGUGUUAUGAGUGCAGGUACCCUCAGAAGUCAGGAGAUGGCAUUAGAUCACACUUGAGCAGAAGUUAUAGGUGGUGUGAGCCAUCCAAUGUGGGUGAUGAGAUUCAAGUUUGGGUCCUCUCAUAGAUUGAUGGAAAUGAAGAGUUGGCUUUGGUCAAAGGAACUGGGUCACCAGGAUAUGCAUUAGGGAUGAGCCUUACCCUGACCCCUUUCUGUCACUCCCUGUCUCCAGCCCACCACAAGGUGAGUUGCUUUGCUCUACCAUGGACCCUUGGACAUGGAGCUCCGCCUCACCAUGGUGGGUCUAGAAGCAACAGAGCAAGAGACCAUGAAUUGAAACCUUUGAGACCAUGAAUCAAAAUGAAUACUUCUCCUCUUAAGUUGUUCUCAGAUAUUUUAUCAUCACGAUGGAAAGUACUAUACCCCUGGUAUGUUUUCUGUUGCUAUAACAAAGUCCCCAAGGCUAGGUUCAUUACAUAGAAAACGAGUUUAUUUGGCUCACUGUUCUCAAGUUCCAAGAGCACAGUGACAGCAUCUGGUUGACUACAGCAGGGUCAUAGCAGAUGGCCUCACAGCAGAUGGUCUCGUGGUUGUGGGAAUGCGUUUGGAAAAGGGAUUCAGGGCAGGUGCCAAACCUGAUUAUAUCAACCCAUUUCCUCCAGAACUAAUCCAGUCCAACAGACAGACUUAAUCCAUUCACGAAGCUUGAAAAGCCAUGACCUAAUUACCUUUCACUGGUCCCCAUGUCUUUAAUGUCUCACCACUGUAGCCCACACACAGGAACAAGCCUGAAGCACCUAGCCUCUCAGGGACAUACAUCCAAGUGAUGCCGAAGCCAAUGUCCACUGGGUGUUCAGACUUACCGAGCAUUUUAAACUGGUUACUGCACAACUGUGCCUAUUGAGGGUGGCUGGCAGAAGCUUCCAGGCUUUGGCAAUUUCUCUCUGGGAUGACUGUCAUUAUCCCAUGAGGACUCUGCAGCUGUGUUUGGUUGACAAACUAUUGUGACCAAAGUUUGGCAGCCGUAUUUUCCCUAAAUGUAAUAACACAGGAGAUCAAUUAACAUUCAUGCAAAUCCCACUAUUGUAAAAAGAUUUUAUUUUAGUGUGUGUGUGUGUGUGUGUGUGUGUGUGUGUGUGUGUGUGUACAUGAGUGCUAGUGUCCUUGGAGGUCAGAAGCAUAGGAUCCCUUGGAGCUGGAGUUACAGGUGGUCAUGAGUCACCUGACACAGUGCUAGAACCCAAACUCAGGUCCUCUGUUGGAACAAGACAUGCUCUUAACUGCUGAUGAGCCAUCUCUCCAGACCCAGGUUCCAUCAUUUUCAAACACUGUAAGAGUUCUUUAACUGAGAUCCUAGCAAUGCUAUUUCUCCCUGAGAGGUGACUGUGGGGAAAGCUGAAUGGGCAACAGAAUUAAAACAUCCCAACUAAAGUGUCUCCAGCUCUGCAAGCAGCCAACUGCCUGUGUCCUGUGAAUUCAGCCUGUUGACCCCGAACCCCCCUGCUUCUCGAACCUACCUAGCUACUAUUCAUCAUCUUGUGUUUCCUUGGGAACCAUUGAUAAGAUUUCAAAACACUUCAAAACAAUAUAACUGUUCUCUGGAGAUGUUUCCAUGGUUGCGGGGGAAACACGGUUCUCUUUUUGGCUGCAGGAAGGGAAAGAGUGGAGACUCCCACACCACAAACAAAACUGUAUCUCCAAGACCAGCUCACCUCAGGGUGUGUAGACCCUCAGGGAGGUCCAGUCCUGUAAGGUGGAGUCCAGCCUCUGCCUUCUUGUUGCUUACUAUACAGGGCCAGAGGCUGUGAAAUCAUUUUCACUUCCUCCAAUAUGACUAGAGACUGAAACUCUAGGGAGACAUGUGCCCUCGAACUGUGUAGCUCUUGGGUCUCUGUCUCUGCCUCACUUCUCUGUUUCAGUCCCUAUCGUGUCUCUCUCUCUCUCUCUCUCUCUCUCUCUCUCUCUCUCUCUCUCUCUCUCUCUCUCUCUCCCUACCCUAGUCUGUAUCUUGUAAUUAUCCAAGAUCAAGGAGAAAAUGAGCAAAGCUUUGAAGAAUGGCAGACCCAGGACUUUGGAUCUGGCUCCCCAAAUCCCUCUGUCUCAGUUAGGAUAACUAUUGCUGUGAUGAAACACCAUGACCAAAAAAAAAAAAAAAAAGCAAGUUGGGAAGAAAGGUAUCUAUUUGGCUUACACUUCUGCAUUGUAGUCCAUCAUUGAAGGAAGUCAGGACAGGAAGUAACACAGGGCAGCUGAUGCAGAGGCUAGGGAGUUCUGCUUGCUAGUUUGUCCCCUAUGGCUUGAUCAUCCUGCUUUCUUAUAUAACCCAGGACCACCAGCCCAGGGAUGGCAUUGCCCACAACCGGCUGGGUCUGCCCACAUCAAUCACUGAUUAUAAAAACGCUCCACAGGUUUCCCUACAGCCCGAUCUUGUGGAGGCAUUUUCUUAUUGAGGUUCCUUCCUCUCAGAUAACUUUAGCUUGUCUCAAGUUGACAUAAAACUAGCCAGCACACCCUCCAAAUGAAAAGAUGUACCCUGUAUGCAUAUGGACAGUGGCUGGCGUGAGAUUUUUUUGAGUCAGGCUGAUCUAGUUGAGCCUCGUCUUAACGUUUUUCAGGGAAGGUGUAGCACAGCCUUGGCUCCUGCGUGGCUCUUGCCCGGGACUAAGGUAGAACCUUUCAGACUGUUUACUGAAUGCCCUGCUUGCUUGGUGAGGUCUUCUGCCUGGCUGGGCAGAUUUUGUGUUCUAGCAACUGUCCAACAUACUGACUGCACAGUUCUUCCCUCCCCAGGUAGAUCUGGGCUGUCCAGCACAGUGACAGUGUGGUCCAAGUACCAGUGGGUCCACAAAGCCCUUCACUUUGACAAAGCUGGGCCAUAAAGCUGCAGGGAGUGGCCCAGCUGAGAAGUUCACUGGCAGUUUGACGGGUGCUUCAGGACUGUGGGCUGCUGUGUCUGAAGUACCAUAACCUCAAGAGGCUGGCUGCUGUCACAAAGAGGGGGGCCUGCAAUGGGACUUGAGAACAUCACAGGGACAGGAAAUCGCCUGCCUCAGGGACCUUCCUGCAUGUCCUAGACACCUAUCUAGUCACUUGAAGAUUUUCCCUCUGGCUGCUCCUGCUGCCCUUCUGCUGCCCUACUGCUGGUGAGGGGACUUCCUCCCUGCUUGAGUACCUAGUUAGGAGGCAACCCAACAUUCGUUCUCAGACCCUGAGAGUUCCCAGCAAAAGACUGGAAGAAAGACCUCCCGGCUCUCCAAACCAUGAAGAGCAUAACCAGGGCGAGGUCUGCCUGGGGCCGGGCUGAUGGAGCUGUUUGUUGAUGUCAAAAGCAGAAAAAGACAGGCUGUGCCCAAAACUGGGACUUUGGCUGUGCCUGCAAAUAAAUUGAGAACAUUUGGUUAUUUUAUAUGCUCUUUUCUUGUGUAUUGGGUUUUUUUUUUUUCUUUAAUACAUUUGGUGCUGGCAAGAUGAAAGGUAAAGUCACUUGUGACCAAACCUGACAACCUGAGUUUGAUCCCUGGAACCCACAUGCUGAAAGGAGAGAAGAGACUCAUGGAAAUUGUCCUAUGAUCUCCAUAUGUGUGACGUGGCAUAAGCUUGCUAAAACAAUAAAUAAAUUUAAAAUACAAAGUCGGUAUAAAAGUCCUCUUUUCCCCAUAUGUGUACUAGGCAGGGCGGGGCUUGCCUAUAAGAUGCAGCACUCAGGGAAGCUGGGCAGGAGGAUUGCUUAAGCCCAGAAGAUGGAGACCAGGCUGGGAACACAGUGACAUGCCAUCUCAAAUAUAUGGAUGAGCAAAGAAACAAGUUAAUAGCCAUGGAGUAAAAUAAAAGUAAAGGGAAACACAUUUUGCUUUCAUCGGGAGUCCUUCAGGGUUCCCCAGAUACUUCUCUCACGUUUGAGUUAACUGGCCAGGACUAGUCAAAAGUCAUACCUCGUUCUAAACAGUCCUGAAACUGUGAGUUCUGACCCCUGGUCACACUUGGAGGCCAAUUCUCAGGCCUAGCUCAUCUUCUGCUUCCCAAACAUGUGAACUCUCUCUCUCUCUCCUGGUUGGCCGGGGAAGCCGAUUUGUCCUGCUGUCCUCCCUGGGCCUCCCCUUCCAUACAUGUAGAAUCCCUGGUGGUUUCUACUCUUGCCUGGGAGAUGCCCUGCCACAUAGCCCUGCCAGCUGAGAUGCCACAGGGCCUUGGCAGAGCCUCUGUGGCAGAGCCCUUGCUUCCUUGGAAAGGCCAGAUGGGGCUCUGGUGCCCAGCCACCUCCACCAUGGAAGGAGCCAUACCCUGUGGGUGAAUAAGCAUAAGAGGAGAAACAGGAGGCUGGUCCAUUAAUCCAGACCACUCACACACAGAGACAACCAGUUAGCUGAGAAAAAUGAGUCCUUCCAUUCACACAGCUGCUCUGGGUACCAAUGCCAUACCUGCAGCUGGUAGAGGGUGC